AACGAACGCUGGCGGCAGGCCUAACACAUGCAAGUCGAGCGAACCCUUCGGGGUUAGCGGCGGACGGGUUAGUAACGCGUGGGAACGUGCCCAAAGGUACGGAAUAGCCUCGGGAAACUGAGAGUAAUACCGUAUGUGCCCCUCGGGGGAAAGAUUUAUCGCUCUGGGAGAAGGGCGCGGCUGACUAGUUAGUUGGUGAGGUAAUGGCUCACCAAGACGAUGAUCAGUAGCUGGUCUGAGAGGACGAACAGCCACAAUGGGACUGAGACAAGGCCCAUACCCCUACGGGGGGCAGCAGUGGGGAAUCCUGCGCAAUGGACGAAAGUCUGACGCAGCGAUCUCGCGUGAAGGAUGAAGCUUUGCGGAGUGUAAACUUCUUUUCUGGGAGAAAACAACUGAUGGUAUCUCAGGAAUAAGGGACGGCUAACUACGUG
rnacentral:rRNA from 1 species